rnacentral:rRNA from 1 species
UGGGAAUCUGCCCAGUCGUGGGGGAUAACGUAUGGAAAACGUACCGCUAAUACCGCAUGCGCCCUUCGGGGAAAGUCGGGGACCGCAAGGCCUGACGCGAUUGGAUGAGCCCAUGUUCGAUUAGCUAGUUGGCGGGGUAACGGCCCACCAAGGCGACGAUCGAUAGCUGGUCUGAGAGGGAAGAUCAGCCACACUGGAACUGAGACACCGGUCCAGACUCCUACGGGAGGCAGCAGUAGGGAAUAUUGGACAAUGGGGGCAACCCUGAUCCAGCCAUGCCGCGUGAGUGAAGAAGGCCCUCGGGUUGUAAAGCUUCUUUUGUUGGGGAAGAAAAGCAGUUGGUUAAUACCCGAUUGUUCUGACGGUACCCAAAGAAUAAGCACCGGCUAACUUCGUG